rnacentral:rRNA from 1 species
CCUACGGGGGGCUGCAGUGAGGAAUAUUGGUCAAUGGGCGGAAGCCUGAACCAGCCAAGUCGCGUGAGGGAAUAAGGCCCUACGGGUCGUAAACUUCUUUUGUCGGGGAACAAAGGCGGAGACGCGUCUCCGGAUGAGUGUACCCGAAGAAAAAGCAUCGGCUAACUCCGUGCCAGCAGCCGCGGUAAUCCGGAGGAUGCGAGCGUUAUCCGGAUUUAUUGGGUUUAAAGGGUGCGCAGGCGGGAGAUCAAGUCAGCGGUAAAAUGUCGGGGCUCAACCCCGGCCGGCCGUUGAAACUGGUUUUCUAGAGGUGGAGAGAAGAAUGCGGAAUUCGUGGUGUAGCGGUGAAAUGCAUAGAUAUCACGAAGAACUCCGAUUGCGAAGGCAGCAUACCGGCUCCAUACUGACGCUGAGGCACGAAAGCGUGGGGAUCGAACAGGAUUAGAUACCCCAGUAGUC